GGAAGGAUCAUUAACAAAUAUUCCAACACUCGUGUUGGGCAUCACACAUCAUUAUCAUCAUUCGUUCGUUUCGUUUGAUGCUUUUGCGUGCGUGUUGCCCGUUAAACACAAAUAACACAACACAUACAUUCAUACUUGACAUCUAAUGGAUUUCCAAAUGUUUAAAUUAAAAACAACUUUUAACAAUGGAUCUCUCGGCUCUUGCAACGAUGAAGAACGCAGCAAACUGCGAAACGUGAUGUGAACUGCAUUUUUCGUGAAUCAUCCAAUCUUUGAACGCAACUUGCACCUUGCUACUUUUGUCGCAAGGUAUACUGUUUGAGUAUCCAAUACACCAUUACCCGGUCCUCGGUUUCAGUGAUGAUAUCGAGAAACACGUGGUAGACUUGAGCCUUGUCUCCGUACGAUACGAACGGAUAGGACAUUGCUUUAAAUGAGUCUUGGUCGUCUCUGACUUGCAGGUGCCGCCAUGUGCGCGCAACUGCACUUCAUGUGACUAUGACGUUUGCUUGCCCUCCAGCGGCACACAGCGACCAUUGGGAUAGCAUCCUAACAAUCGUCGCCGUGAGCAAAGCUGUUGAGCAGCCAUUUCUCCUUGUUCUCAUGAUAUAUUAAUAUAUUAUGUAACUUGAAUGUGAAUGGUUUAUGCGCGUCCACUCGGCCAUUCUUGAACACGGUGGUGAUCGUUGUUAACAACGAACGCAACACGGUUCAUGCAUUCCUCUCGUUUUGUUCUCUCCCUGAGAGAGAAGAGAGCAUAACAGAGAAGGAUGUGGUAACUCAAAAUGGAUCUCAAAUCAAGUAAGGAUACCCGCUGAACUUAAGCAUAUCAGUAAGCGGAGGAAAAGAAACUAACCAGGAUUCCUUGAGUAACGGCGAGUGAAACGGGAACAGCUCAAAUUUGAAAUCUGGCAUCCAGUAGGAUGUCCGAAUUGUCAUUGAGAGGGUCUGUUUUGGGUGAACGGCAGCAUGUGGUCCAAGUUCUCUGGAAAGGGACAACAAAGAGGGUGACAUUCCCGUCUAGGCCGCGCUUCGUUUAUCCGUAAGAGAAACAGAUCCAACGAGUCGGAUUGUUUGGGAUUGCAAUCCAAAAUGGGUGGUACAUUUCAUCUAAAGCUAAAUAUAGGCAAGAGACCGAUAGCGAACAAGUACCGUGAGGGAAAGAUGAAAAGAACUUUGAAAAGAGAGUUAAAUAGUACGUGAAAUUGUUAAAAGGGAAACGAUUGAGACCAGUGAUGCAGUUCGGUCGCCAAAGUACAAUGAAUCAAAAUUGGACGGAGGACAACGGCCGAACAGCGAGUCGACAUUCCUUUGUGACCGUCUGUAAACAACUGAUAGAAAAGUGGCUCCACUUUCGGGUGGUUGCUCUAUAGUCUAUCAGGAAUGCAUGACCGGUGUGAGAGGUGACCAGGUGCAUACGUACCCGUACUUUAAUCAGUACAUGUCGACGAAAUGGUCUUAAACGACCCGUCUUGAAACACGGACCAAGGAGUCCAACAACUGUGCGAGUAUUUGAGUGGCAAACUCGAAUGCGUAAAGAAAAUGAACGCGUGGGACUGACCAGUUCAAAAGACUGAUCAAGCACCAUGGGCCGGUCCUUGUCUCUGACUUGGAUUGCGCUAGAGCAUGACUGUUGGGACCCGAAAGAUGGUGAACUAUGCCUGAAUAGGGUGAAGCCAGGGGAAACUCUGGUGGAGGCUCGUAGACAUUCUGACGUGCAAAUCGAUGUUCAAAUUUGGGUAUAGGGGCGAAAGACUAAUCGAACCAUCUAGUAGCUGGUUCCCUC
rnacentral:misc_RNA from 1 species